rnacentral:tRNA from 1 species
GCCGCCCUAGCUCAGUCGGUAGAGCACUGGACUGAAAAUCCAGGUGUCCGCAGUUCGAUUCUGCGGGGCGGCACCA